GACAGAUUCUAUGGGCAGUUACAGUAGCCUACAGAUUUCAGCAUGUGUAUAUGUAUAGCGAAUUUGUUCGUACCCGUGAUAAUUUGGAGUUAACCAAAUAAAAGUGUGGGGGAUUAAAAGGAAAUAAGCGAGUGUCCCUCUUGGAAGAAAAAAAUCAGAUUGACUUACUGGUUUAUGGCAGUUAUUGUACACAGAUUCUCUGUAACCAUGUUGAAUUUUUAACGUUAGAUUUUAAAUAUAUUUUGACAGUCUGAACUUGUAUGGUGUGACUAACUAUAGGGAGAAAUGACAGGUCUGCUUUGUUAUUAAGCUGCUGUCUGGAAAAUAUUGGACUCUGUACAGUAAAUGAUAAUUAUUUUGCCACUUACAUUAGUGCGGCUAAUAGCAAUAAGGGUUUUUUGAACCAUAGAAAGCUAACUACUUUGAAUUACUGUGCUUUGUUAUUCACUGUGAGGCAAGAAGGCUUUUUUUUUUUUUUUUUUUUUAAAGCAACCUCAUUUUCAUAUCCUGGCUUUAAGAAUUCCCUGCUACUAAUUUAAACAGAGAGGAAGUUAAUAAAUAAAAGGGUGGUAUCUGAACGUUUCUAUUUGUUGAGAGAACGUUUGUAGUUAAGGUCAGCGGUACCAGCAGAAUAGACCAGAGCAAGGAAGGAGGAGGGGGGAAAUGGAAGAGAAUGUGCCCUAGCAAAGAUCCAGGGGAAGGGGGACCCGUUGGGCUCCCAGAGGGAUGGGCUUCAAAGCUGGACUUCAAAGCUGAUCCAGACUGUCAGGCGAGUAAGUAUCUCUACAUCUCAGCUUCCUUGGGGUCAGAGCCGUAGUCAGAGGGGGUGACCUUGCCUUGCGUGCCAUUCUCUUCCGUGUGAACCCCUCCUCUGACAGGUCUGAGGCCAGGAUGUCAAAGCAAGUGGUCCUAAAUCCCUCUUCCUUGGGUCUAAUUCUGCCUUUUUCAUAGAUAGCUAGGCUGCCUUUGACGUACUGUCCUUGAAACCUCCUUCAUGGUUAUUAAUUACCCUUUGUUUAUUUUAAUAUAUUUACUAAAUCAGGUACCCAAGGGAAUCCUCUACAUCAGUGAUGUGAAAAACCCUGUUGCCUGAAGUCAAAGAGAUGUUCCUGACAUUGGCUAAGACCCAUCCGGAAGCAACCAAGCCUUACAGAGCUGCCUCGGGGCAGGGCAGGUGGGAUACAUACAUAGGGGAGAGGCCCAUUUGUAGCUUUCCUGUCGCCUAUGGGAGAAGCUGAUGGAACUUGUAUAAAUAGUAUUUCCUGGGUUCGAAGUACCCAUCAGUUUGUUUGUUUUUUUUCCCUCCCCUCUAGUGUUACACUUAGCUGAGUGGACAUGUUUUAUCCUGACUGUACCUAUGCCAAUCUGAAUGCAAAGAAAUGUAAGGAAGGGUUCAUUGUUUUAUGAACUGGGAUUAAAAACCAAAAGUGAAACGAAACCAAGCAAAGACAGUAGAAGUGUUCAGAAAUCUUUUUAUUUUGUAUAACUUGACCUCCCGUGUUGCCCAUGAAUCAUCUAGAGAAAUAAAACGCAAAGCAUGGUUUCCCGAUGCCCAGUGUCCACGUGGGGGCCUUAGCACAGCUGUUUCAUUCAAACAUAAAAUGAAGUAUGUCAUAACCAUGUUUCCCUUGCAGAGCCCAUCAAAAUCUUUUACCAGAAAUGGUGAAUCAGGUGUCCUCAUGCAAAGGACAUGUGAAAACACAGACUGUAAGUUCUGAAUUCUUGGUGCCUCUGUUUAGAAAGCCCAAGUGAGAACAGUGGCUGAUCUUGACUCUGUCUUCAUCACAGGCCCCUCAGGGCUUCUAAAUACUCCGUUUUUAAAGUACACCCUCCAUACCCCCAGGCAGCAAGGAACAGAGUGCUGUCUUACAUGCAGACUUGGAGCGGACCAAUCCAUCAAAAGUUCCAUGAGUGUGUCUUAAGCGAAUUACAUCAAUGGAUUUGUUGGCACUGAGAAAAAAAAAAAAGGGGGGGGGGGAUACUUUCGCUUGAAGUGUUUAUUCCGCGGACUUACUUGUUUGUUUGCUGUUUGUUUAUUUAGGUCAUGCUCCCACAUAACCACCGUCUCACCCCCUUUCUAGACAAAGCCUGCCGAAUGUUCUUUCGGUGGGGACUGGCCCCCUCCUGGGCUGAUGUAAUCAAUCGGGGCAGGGAGAGGAUAACGAGCCAUAUCAAGUCAUAUUUUCCGUGAGCUCUAGGAUACUCUUGAGGGGGCAAUUUAAAGAAAGACACGGUAUGCAUUUAGGGGGGAAGAAAGGGAAGAAAGAGUUUUUGCAACAAGUACGGCACUCGUGACUUAAAACAAAGCCAUGCUCCUGUAAAAGAGUGUUCCCGCUGAAAGCACACAUUCAGUCAUUCACCUGCAGAGCCUCAGAUUUACUGCUGCCGUUCGCAGAUGCCAGUGCUGAAACCCUCUUCACCUGCGGACUGCUGAAUCUUCCAUUUCCUCCAUCCAAAAAUCACUGUCAAGUUGUUGUUUAGUGUCUGCAUUGUUUUGGCUUUUGCUGGCACCUAAUGAAACUAUCAGCAAUAAAUGAGCUAAGCAGAA